rnacentral:sRNA from 1 species
AUGUACUAAAGUACACUACGGUUCCUCCGCUCCGGCCGCUAUCGGCUAACGGUCUCUCGCUACGGACCAUGAGCA